UGAGAGGGAUGUUGGUUGGUGUUUUGCAUAGAGACAUUGUGUGGCUAAACUGCAGCUGCUAUAAAAGUGCCAGUGUCCCUGUGCCAUAUUAAUGAUCUGUAUGUGUCACAGUGCAUAGAUAGAGACAUGUCUUAUCCCACUUAUCUACUGCUGCUGCUGGGGAUCCUCCUGAUCUUUAGUCAAGGUUCCUAUGGGCAGAUUGUAUUGACUCAGUCUCCAGAUUAUGUCUCUGUGUCACCAGGAGAAACUGUCACCAUCACAUGUAAAGCCAGUAGCAGUGUUGUAAGUGGCUCUUACAAUUGGUUAGCCUGGUACCAACAGAAAUCAGGGCAGGUACCAAAGCUGCUGAUCUAUUGGGCAAACACCCGACACACAGGGACCCCAGAGCGGAUCAGCGGCAGUGGGUCUGGAACUGAUUUCACUCUUACAAUCAGCAGAAUGGAAGCAGAAGAUGCAGCAGCUUAUUACUGUCAGUAUUAUUACAGUUCCCCUCUCACACAGUGAUACAGAGCUGAACAAAAA